UACAGAGGUCUCAAGCGUUUGUUCGGAUUCAUUGGGCGUAAAGGGCUCGUAGGCGGUCCAUCGCGUCGGGAGUGAAAAGCUGGGGCUUAACCCCAGUCCUGCUUCCGAUACGGGUGGACUAGAGGUAGGUAGGGGAGAACGGAAUUCCUGGUGUAGCGGUGAAAUGCGCAGAUAUCAGGAGGAACACCGGUGGCGAAGGCGGUUCUCUGGGCCUUACCUGACGCUGAGGAGCGAAAGCAUGGGGAGCAAACAGG
rnacentral:rRNA from 1 species